CUUGAACGCCGGCGGCAGGCUUAACACAUGCAAGUCGAGCGGAGCGAGGGUGCUUGCACCUUAGCUUAGCGGCGGACGGGUGAGUAAUGCUUAGGAAUCUGCCUAUUAGUGGGGGACAACAUUCCGAAAGGAAUGCUAAUACCGCAUACGCCCUACGGGGGAAAGCAGGGGAUCUUCGGACCUUGCGCUAAUAGAUGAGCCUAAGUCGGAUUAGCUAGUUGGUGGGGUAAAGGCCUACCAAGGCGACGAUCUGUAGCGGGUCUGAGAGGAUGAUCCGCCACACUGGGACUGAGACACGGCCCAGACUCCUACGGGAGGCAGCAGUGGGGAAUAUUGGACAAUGGGCGGAAGCCUGAUCCAGCCAUGCCGCGUGUGUGAAGAAGGCCUUUUGGUUGUAAAGCACUUUAAGCGAGGAGGAGGCUACUUAGAUUAAUACUCUGGGAUAGUGGACGUUACUCGCAGAAUAAGCACCGGCUAACUCUGUGCCAGCCGCCGCGGUAACAC
rnacentral:rRNA from 1 species